UACGUAGGUGGCAAGUGUUGUCCGGAUUUACUGGGCGUAAAGAGCGCGCAGGCGGCCAAGUCAGUCGAAUGUGAAAGCCCCCGGCUCAACUGGGGAGGUCACGCGAUACUGAUCGACUCGAAGGCAGGAGAGGGUAGUGGAAUUCCCGGUGUAGUGGUGAAAUGCGUAGAUAUCGGGAGGAACACCGGUGGCGAAGGCGGUUCUCUGGGCCUUACCUGACACUGAGGAGCGAAAGCGUGGGGAGCGAACAGG
rnacentral:rRNA from 1 species